rnacentral:rRNA from 1 species
CGGUGGAAACAGCGGCUAAUACCCGAUAGGCUCACGUGAUCGGGAGGUCAAGUGAGGAAAGGCUGCGGUGCUUGAGGAGGGGUCUGCGGCCCAUCAGCUAGUUGGUGAGGUAACGGCUCACCAAGGCGAAGACGGGUAGGGGGUGUGAGAGCACGACCCCCCACAAUGGGACUGCGACACGGCCCAUACUCCUACGGGAGGCAGCAGCAGGGAAUAUUGCGCAAUGGACGGAAGUCAGACGCAGCGACGCCGCGUGGGUGAGGAAGGCCUUCGGGUUGUAAAGCCCUUUUCUGGAGGGCGAGGCAGGACGGUACUCCAGGAAUAAGCGUCGGCUAACUACGUGCCAGCAGCCGCGGUAAGACGUAGGACGCAAGCGUUAUCCGGAUUUACUGGGCGUAAAGCGCCUGUAGGCGGCGGGAUAAGUCGGAUGUGAAAGCCCCGUGCUCAACGCGGGGAAGCCAUUCGAUACUGUCUGGCUAGAGAGCGGGAGAGGGAAACGGAAUUUCUGGUGUAGCGGUAAAAUGCGCAGAGAUCAGAAGGAACACCGAUGGCGAAGGCAGUUUCCUAGGCCGUAUCUGACGCUGAGAGGCGAAAGCUAGGGGAGCGAACAGGAUUAGAGACCCUGGUAGUCCUAGCUGUAAACGCUGGAUGCUAGGUGUGGGCCAGAGCGGUCCGUGCCGGAGUUAACGCGAUAAGCAUCCCGCCUGGGGAGUAGGGCCGCAAGGCUAAAACUCAAACGAAUUGACGGGGACCCGCACAAGCAGCGGAGCGUGUGGUUUAAUUCGAUGCUACACGCAGAACCUUACCUGGGCUUGACAUGUAGGUGGUAGUGAAGUGAAAGCGGAGCGACCCUUCGGGGAGCCUACACAGGUGCUGCAUGGCUGUCGUCAGCUCGUGCCGUGAGGUGCCGGGAUAAGUCCAGUAACGAGCGCAACCCUUGUCCUUAGUUACAAGUGUGUAAUGAGACUCCCGGUGACAAACCGGAGGAAGGUGGGGAUGACGUCAAGUCAG